rnacentral:lncRNA from 1 species
UUGUUGACUGUGGGAAUGAAAGACAAGAACAAAGGAAGCAUGGUCCAGAAGGCUAAGGCAAGAAUAAGCUACAGCAGAAGCUGUUUAGGUCAUUGGAUUGUCUGUGAAGUCUGAUGCUAAAAAGACCAUCAUGAAUCUCAGGUUCCCUCUUUUUCUCACGGUUUUCUAGCCAUUAUCUUGUAGAAGUAAUUGAGAAAGUCACUUGCUUUUACUCAUACAAAGACAUCCAACUUCAAAAAGAGAACUGAACUACAGAGGAUGUAGAGAAGGCAGUGGAAUGAGAAUUGCUUGGAAUGAGACAUCAUCCUAAGUCCUUGGAGGUAGGGAAAGAGCAAACCAAUGGAGUUCUUUGUUUAGUCCAUCUGAAUUGCAGUACUUAUGACGUUGUUUAUGACCUUUGUUUUUUUAACAAAUGGUGUUAACUGCUGAACUAUUUUGUAAAGUUACAAUUAUGUAUUUUUUAUGAUCUAUGAAAAGAAACGUGCUUUCAACAAAUUGAUUUUGUAGCAUAUAAUUAUUUGGAUUUCAAAUUUAUAUAUUUAAAAUAAUUUUGC